GUGCUCGAUGAAGUGCUUACUGCAUUUUUUCUUACACAUGUGUUUUUCUUUUUUUGAAAACUUUGCUUUGGUAGGCCUUCUAUAUGGGGCCUGCCAGAGAUUAAACUCAACCAAAUUUUAUUUAAUGUCAACCGAUUAUUUAAUAGUCAAAACUUUCAACAACGGAUCUCUUGGUUCUCGCAUCGAUGAAGAACGCAGCGAAAUGCGAUAAGUAAUAUGAAUUGCAGAUAUUCGUGAAUCAUCGAAUCUUUGAACGCACAUUGCGCCCUUUGGUAUUCCAAAGGGCAUGCCUGUUUGAGCGUCAUUUCUCCCUCAAACCCUCGGGUUUGGUGUUGAGCGAUACGCUGGGUUUGCUUGAAAGAAAGGCGGAGUAUAAACUAAUGGAUAGGUUUUUUCCACUCAUUGGUACAAACUCCAAAACUUCUUCCAAAUUCGACCUCAAAUCAGGUAGGACUACCCGCUGAACUUAAGCAUAUCAAAAACGGGAGGAA
rnacentral:rRNA from 1 species